GGUGCAAAUGAUGCCUGUGAGUGACCAAAGCCUGACUUGCUGAUGAGUCCUGACUGACUGACUGCACC
ensembl:snoRNA